AUCCCAUCCGAUUCUAUUGGAUCUCCUUUCUACUUUCUGUAUAUCUACAAUAGCACUUGUUGAAAAUUGUCUUUGUAAUUUAUCUUCUUUCCGAAGCUGAAAUUGCAGUGUAAUCUUUGGGAGAGAAAUGUCACAGAAUACACUGGAGAGGCGCUCGUCGUCCAUCGAUGCGCAACUGAGGCUUCUGGCGCCGGCGAAGGUCUCCGAGGACGACAAGUUGGUGGAAUACGAUGCGCUUCUCGUGGAUAGCUUUCUCGACACCCUCCAAAGCUUGCACGGAGAAGAUCUCAGGGAAACGGUCCAAGAGUGCUAUGAGAUCUCUGCCAAGUACGAAGGGUCUGGUGAUAUUAACAUGCUGGAUGAGCUGGGAAAUAUGCUGAUGGGCCUGGACCCCGGAGACUCUAUCUUGGUCGCCGGCUCUUUCUCCCACAUGCUCAACCUGGGCAAUCUGGCUGAGGAGGUUCAGAUUGCACAUCGCAGGAGGAACAAGCUGAAGAAGGGAGACUUCGUUGAUGAGAGCAAUGCGACUACAGAGUCUGACAUCGAAGAGACGCUUAAAAGGCUAGUCGAGAAAUUGCACAGGUCACCGGAACAGGUCUUUGAUGCUUUGAAGAACCAAACUGUCGAUCUCGUUUUUACUGCACACCCAACCCAGUCAAUUCGAAGAUCCCUACUGCAGAAGCAUUCCAGGAUAAGGAAUUGCUUGACACAGCUCACAGCAAAGGACAUUACUUCUGAUGACCACCACGAGCUUGAUGAAGCUCUCCAGAGAGAGAUUCAGGCUGCGUUUCGGACUGACGAAAUUCGUCGAACGCAGCCGACUCCUCAGGAUGAGAUGCGUGCAGGAAUGAGCUACUUCCAUGAAACAAUUUGGAAAGGUGUGCCGAAAUUCUUACGGCGUGUUGAUACUGCUCUGAAGAACAUUGGAAUAAAAGAACGUGUUCCUUACAAUGCUCCACUCAUUCAAUUCUCCUCCUGGAUGGGUGGGGAUCGUGAUGGUAAUCCUAGAGUCACGCCGGAUGCCACAAGAGAUGUAUGCUUGUUGGCUCGCAUGAUAGCAGCAACCUUGUACUACUCUCAGAUAGAAGAUUUGAUGUUUGAGUUGUCAAUGUGGCGCUGCACGGAUGAACUUCGCAUUCAGGCAAAUGUUCUUCAUCGGUCAACAAGGAAAGAUGCCAAGCACUACAUAGAGUUCUGGAAACAGAUUCCUCCGAAUGAGCCAUAUCGUGUUAUACUUGGCGAUGUGCGAGACAAGCUGUAUAAUACACGGGAACAUUCCAGGCAAUUGCUGGCAAAUGGAACCUCAGAUAUAUCUGAGGAACUGACUUUCACUAAUGUUGAGCAGCUUCUGGAACCACUUGAGCUAUGUUAUAGGUCACUCUGCUCUUGUGGUGAUAGACCAAUCGCCGAUGGAAGCCUUCUUGACUUCCUGCGCCAAGUGUCUACCUUUGGCCUUUCUCUUGUGAGACUGGACAUCAGGCAAGAAUCUGAUAGGCAUACUGAUGUUCUUGAUUCCAUCACCAAUCAUCUUGGAAUUGGAUCGUACCGGGAUUGGUCAGAAGAAAAGCGUCAAGAGUGGUUGUUACAAGAACUUAGAGGCAAGCGUCCUCUGUUUGGUCCUGACCUCCCACAGACCGAGGAGAUUGCUGAUGUUUUACAGACAUUCCAUGUCCUAGCAGAGCUUCCUUCUGAUAGUUUUGGUGCCUAUAUCAUUUCAAUGGCAACUGCUCCUUCAGAUGUGCUUGCAGUGGAACUCUUGCAGCGUGAGUGCCAUGUGAAGGAACCACUAAGAGUUGUGCCGCUGUUUGAAAAGCUUCAAGAUCUCGAUGCAGCUCCUGCUGCUGUAGCACGCUUGUUCUCAAUAGAUUGGUACAUGAACAGGAUUAAUGGCAAGCAAGAAGUCAUGCUUGGUUAUUCUGAUUCAGGGAAGGAUGCUGGUCGACUCUCGGCGGCUUGGCAGUUAUAUAAAGCACAAGAGGAGCUAGUGAAGGUUGCCAAGCAAUAUGGUGUGAAAUUGACAAUGUUUCAUGGACGAGGUGGGACUGUUGGGAGAGGAGGUGGCCCGACUCAUCUUGCUAUCUUGUCCCAGCCACCGGAAACGAUCCAAGGAUCAUUUCGCGUGACAAUCCAAGGGGAAGUAAUUGAACAGUCGUUCGGCGAGGAGCAUUUAUGCUUCAGAACACUUCAACGUUUUACGGCGGCUACUCUUGAGCAUGGUAUGCACCCUCCUGUUUCACCUAAGCCAGAAUGGCGUGCACUGAUGGAUGAGAUGGCUAUAGUGGCCACAGAAGAGUAUCGCUCAAUAGUUUUCAAGGAACCACGUUUUGUGGAAUAUUUCCGACUAGCCACACCUGAAACAGAGUAUGGUAGGAUGAACAUAGGUAGUCGGCCAUCGAAGCGGAAGCCUAGUGGGGGAAUAGAAUCUCUUCGUGCAAUUCCAUGGAUUUUUGCUUGGACUCAGACAAGGUUUCACCUCCCUGUAUGGCUUGGCUUUGGUGCAGCUUUCAAGCAUGUACUACAGAAGGAUAUCAGAAACCUUCAGACGCUCAAGGAGAUGUACAAGGAGUGGCCCUUCUUUCGGGUCACAAUAGACUUGGUUGAGAUGGUCUUUGCCAAGGGAGAUCCAGGAAUAGCUGCUGUCUACGAUAAAUUGCUUGUUUCCAAGGAGUUACUGCCAUUUGGCGAACGACUAAGGGCUAAUUACGAAGAAACAAAAGGCCUUCUCCUUCAGGUUGCUGGCCACAGGGAUCUCCUUGAAGGUGAUCCUUACUUGAAGCAACGAUUAAGGCUGCGCCACGCUUACAUUACGACUCUAAAUGUUUGCCAAGCGUGUACGUUGAAGAGGAUGAGGGAUCCCAGCUUCAAUGUAAAUGUGAAGCCCCAUCUACAGAAGAAUCUCGAUCACUGCAGUCCAGCAGCAGAUUUGGUGAAGCUGAAUCCAACUAGUGAGUAUGCCCCUGGGCUGGAAGACACUCUCAUAUUAACGAUGAAGGGGAUUGCUGCAGGCAUUAGGAACACUGGCUAGACUCAUUCACUCUAUCUCUAGCACGCACGUCCGGACUUCGUUCUGUAAAACGUCCACAGAUUGUUGCCUUCUUUCUUCUAAAUAACAGAGAUUAGCUGCGGCCAAACUUAGCAUACCAAAUUUUCUGGAAUCGGUGAUUAUUCACUGCCAUUUGUGCAUAAUCCAAUUGGAAGCCAGGCCACCCACCAUCAGCAGCAUCACUGAUGCUCGUUGUGCAUGGCCGUCGCUUAUAAGUCAGAACAUUGCCUGCCACUGAAACCAUAUCUUCAAUCCCAAAGCGAACCCAUCCUCUUUGAUCUGCUUCGUAGUGUGAUGACACCUCAUGCAGAUCGUCAAUUCCGCACUCCUUUGUUUAUUCAUGAAGCUUCCAUGUCUACUGAAAGCUGCGACGACCUGGAACUCAUCGACGACGCGCUGCUCGCAGAGAUGCUGGAGUCGUCGUCUUGCUUCGACGACGAGGUGGCGGAUGAUGGCCGGCUCGGCGGCGUGAUUAGUUCUCUGGAAGCGGAGAUCCUCGGCCGGCCCGUCGUCGCCUCCUCGUCUGAUGAUUUGUUGGUCACGGACGACGGGAAAUCCACCACCUGGCCGGACGACGGCCGUCUGGUGCAGGAGGACAUCGUAUUGUGGGCCGCUGAUGAUUGUGAGAGCUCGGUGGGUUGGAGCUUGGAGGAUCCGCUGUGUGAUUGUGCGGAGGUGUGUGACUUGGGUUAGUGUUACGCGCAGCCGGCCGUCGGAGGAGUUCUAGAAGGAGAGUGUGCUGGUUUUAACUGCGGCGAUGCGGAUCAAGUGUUUGAUCGUCUGUGGCAAUGAACAUUAAAAAAUGACUAAUGGAUUUCUAUGUGCUUUCAAACUCUGGCUUUAAAAAUAAAUUACAUUUUAAUCA